rnacentral:rRNA from 1 species
AUUGAACGCUGGCGGCAGGCCUAACACAUGCAAGUCGAGCGGAUGAAGGGAGCUUGCUCCUGGAUUCAGCGGCGGACGGGUGAGUAAUGCCUAGGAAUCUGCCUUGUAGUGGGGGAUAACGUCCGGAAACGGGCGCUAAUACCGCAUACGUCCUGAUGGUGAAAGUGGGGGAUCUUCGGACCUCACGCUAUCAGAUGAGCCUAGGUCGGAUUAGCUAGUUGGUUGGGUAAAGGCCUACCAAGGCGACGAUCCGUAACUGGUCUGAGAGGAUGAUCAGUCACACUGGAACUGAGACACGGUCCAGACUCCUACGGGAGGCAGCAGUGGGGAAUCUUGGACAAUGGGCGAAAGCCUGAUCCAGCCAUGCCGCGUGUGUGAAGAAGGUCUUCGGAUUGUAAAGCACUUUAAGUUGGGAGGAAGGGCAGUAAGUUAAUACAUUGCUGUUUUGACGUUACCAACAGAAUAAGCACCGGCUAACUUCGUG